GCACAAUGGGGCGCAAGCCUGAUGCAGCCAUGCCGCGUGUGUGAAGAAGGCCUUAGGGUUGUAAAGCACUUUCAGUCGUGAGGAAAGGUGUGUGCUUAAUACGUACAUACUGUGACGUUAGCGACAGAAGAAGGACCGGCUAACUCCGUGCCAGCAGCCGCGGUAAUACGGAGGGUCCGAGCGUUAAUCGGAAUUACUGGGCGUAAAGCGCGCGUAGGUGGAUUGGUCAGUCAGAUGUGAAAGCCCAGGGCUCAACCUUGGAACUGCAUCUGAUACUGCUAGUCUAGAAUACGGUAGAGGGUAGUGGAAUUUCCUGUGUAGCGGUGAAAUGCGUAGAUAUAGGAAGGAACACCAGUGGCGAAGGCGACUACCUGGACCGAUAUUGACACUGAGGUGCGAAAGCGUGGGGAGCAAACAGGAUUAGAUACCCUGGUAGUCCACGCCGUAAACGAUGUCUACUAGCCGUUGGAAGACUUGAUCUUUUAGUGGCGAAGCUAACGCGAUAAGUAGACCGCCUGGGGAGUACGGCCGCAAGGUUAAAACUCAAAUGAAUUGACGGGGGCCCGCACAAGCGGUGGAGCAUGUGGUUUAAUUCGACGCAACGCGAAGAACCUUACCAACUCUUGACAUCCAGAGAAGAGGCUAGAGAUAGCUUUGUGCCUUCGGGAACUCUGAGACAGGUGCUGCAUGGCUGUCGUCAGCUCGUGUUGUGAAAUGUUGGGUUAAGUCCCGUAACGAGCGCAACCCUUGUCCUUAUUUGCCAGCACGUAAUGGUGGGAACUCUAAGGAGACUGCCGGUGACAAACCGGAGGAAGGUGGGGACGACGUCAAGUCAUCAUGGCCCUUACGAGUUGGGCUACACACGUGCUACAAUGGCCGGUACAGAGGGCUGCAAACCUGCGAAGGUAAGCUAAUCUCACAAAACCGGUCGUAGUCCGGAUUGGAGUCUGCAACUCGACUCCAUGAAGUCGGAAUCGCUAGUAAUCGUGGAUCAGAAUGCCACGGUGAAUACGU
rnacentral:rRNA from 1 species